GUGGGUGUAGUUCAGUUGGCUAGAACGCCAGAUUGUGGCUCUGGAGGUCGUCGGUUCGAGUCCGAUCAUCCACCCCA
rnacentral:tRNA from 5 species